rnacentral:rRNA from 1 species
AACAGGGAUUGCCUCAUUAACGGCGAGUGAAGCGGCAAGAGCUCAAAUUUGAAAGCUGGCUCCUUCGGGGUCCGCAUUGUAAUUUGCAGAGGAUGUUUCGGGAGCAGCCCCCAUCUAAGUGUCCUGGAACGGACCGUCAUAGAGGGUGAGAAUCCCGUUUGUGCUAAGGACGCCCGUGUGCAUUGUGGUACGCUUUCAAAGAGUCGAGUUGUUUGGGAAUGCAGCUCAAAUUGGGUGGUAAAUUCCAUCUAAAGCUAAAUAUUGGCGAGAGACCGAUAGCGAACAAGUACCGUGAGGGAAAGAUGAAAAGCACUUUGGAAAGAGAGUUAACAGUACGUGAAAUUGUUGGAAGGGAAACGCUUGAAGUCAGACUUGCUGUUCGGAGUUCAGCCGCAAGGUGUACUCUCCGAGUUGCAGGCCAGCAUCAGUUUUUCGGGGUGGAAAAUCACGGUUUGAAGGUAGCAGUUUCGGCUGUGUUAUAGCUUUCCGUUGGAUACAUCCUGGGGGACUGAGGAACGCAGUGUGCUUUUAGCGGAGGUUUCGACCUCUUCACACUUAGGAUGCUGGUGGAAUGGCUUUAAACGACCCGUCUUGUAACACGGACCAAGGAGUCUAACAUGCUUGCGAGU